rnacentral:rRNA from 1 species
AUUGAACGCUGGCGGCAGGCCUAACACAUGCAAGUCGAGCGAGCGGCGGACGGGUGAGUAAUGUCUGGGAAACUGCCUGAUGUAGGGGGAUAACUACUGGAAACGGUAGCUAAUACCGCAUCCCAUCAGAUGUGCCCAGAUGGGAGUCGCUAGUCGGUUGGGUAACGGCUCACCUAGGCAACGCUCCCUAGCUGGUCUGAGAGGAUGACCAGCCACACUGGAACUGAGACACGGUCCAGACUCCUACGGGAGGCAGCAGUGGGGAAUAUUGCACAAUGGGCGCAAGCCUGAUGCAGCCAUGCCGCGUGUAUGAAGAAGGCCUUCGGGUUGUAAAGUACUUUCAGCGGGGAGGCGUUACCCGCAGAAGAAGCACCGGCUAACUCCGUGCCAGCAGCCGCGGUAAUAC